UCUAUGUUUUUUUUUUUUCUUUAGUUUUGAAUAUUCUGGUUAGAAGCCAUUAGAUAAUCAACACAUCAUUUUAUUAGCAUAAUCCGGGUAGUAGCAGGUAAAGUGGUAAUUUCCUCUUUCUAUUACGAUGGUUGAUAGGAGGUUUCAAAUUUGUGAUGAAUCUGGUGGUCAUAAUUGGUAAGGAAAACUUUUGGUAAGAAUUAUGGUCGGUCUCCUUCACCGCAGAAACCGCGGAGCACCAAUUCUGUUCUUCCGUUCUUGACCGUCACGGCAAUUGCAUUGCUUAUUUAUGCACCAUAAAGGUGUGCAGUGCACAGUACAAGUGUGCCUGCUAUCAUUAAGUUAUAUAGGGAGAUACCUCUUUCCUCCCUCAAAAUUCCUGGUGCUAUAUGAUAACUUUUCAGGGAGAUAAACAGGUAUUUCCUCUAUCUUCUGACUUCAAGUAUGCUUACUUCUACUGUGACUAAAACUUCUUUUUUUAUGAUUUUAAAGGCUAAAUCAAAAAUUUCCGGUAGUCAGGAGCUAUCAUGGGGUAUUUUCUCUAUUAUAUAUUUCUCCCAUCAUGCUAUAUAUUUUAAAAUUUUCCCUGGUAAGGGGGUGGUAAAUAUGUUUUUCCUUCGAGUAAUCCGGCACAAACAUCGUUUUUUUCUGCAACUCCAAUUGAUAUGGUGGUGACGAGUCUUGCAUGGCGAAGCUGUACACCUUUGAAGGUGAGCACGGCUAGUGAGGCAUGAUGCCUGUCUGUCGUGCCAUUUAGAAUAUGACACAUUAUUAGACUGCUUACAUUAAUGUUUUGAUCAUUUUCUGUUGUAUUCUCAUCCUGCAUACUUCUAACAACUAUUAUUCUUGGUGGGAUUUUUCAGGUCAGGUUGAUUACCGACAAGGAGACAAAUAAACCUCGAGGAUAUAUAUAUAUGCUUUUAUCGAAUAUGCACACACGAUCGAGAGACAUGAAAACUGCAUAUAAACAAGCUGAUGGGAGGAAGUUGGAUAAUAAUUAAAGGAGUUCUUGUGGAUGUUGAGCGUGGUAGAACUUGAAUAUGCAUCUUAAUUGGGUUAAAAAUGGUUCCCAAUCUUUGCUUGCUGAUUGUUGGUGGACCGUUCAAAGCCUUGGUUUGUGUUUUGUUGAACUUGAAUAUGCAGACUGUAUCUUAGAUGAAGGGAUAUGUACUUGUUUGUAGACUGCAAUGACUUGUUGGUGUUUGAUCUGGAAACCAU